AUGGGCAGGGGACUGGCAGCCAUGCCACAGGGGGACCCCUGCGACCCCUCUGCUCCUGGCCCGCACUCGCGAGGACCCCACUGCUGGCUCCUCCUGCUGGUGGCCUCGGGCAAGUCCCUCCACCUCUCUGGCCCUCAGCCCCUCUGCCGUGGGGUUGUGGGGGAGGAGGCCACGGGACGGGCAGGCUGCGGGCGUGUCCGUCACAGGCAGCUCACACUUCACGCAAAUCACGGCGGCUGCAGGUCGGGCGCGGAGCCCUUCCCAAGUCCCCCAGCUCGGGGGGGGGGGGGGCACAGGCCUGCCCACCACUUCCUGCCGCCGCCUCCCCUUCCUCCUCGCCCUCCGGCCGAGAGGAAACCGCCAGCCCCGGCGGACGUCCCUGCUUUCGGCUUCCUCUUUCCCACACGGGCCCGGGCAGCGCCUCAGCUUCUCCCAGCCUCAGCGCCCUUGUCUGCAGAACGGGCGCGACCCAGCAGGCUCCAGUGUGCGCCUGCGCGGGGACGGACCCCAUACCCGGCCACCGCGACCACCCCCAUUCCACAGCUAAGAACGAGGCCCAGCAAGGCCACAUCACCUGCCGUGGGCGCUCAGCGCAGGAGCAGAGAGGAGGCCGCUGUCUCCAGUGCCUGGCCACCUCCUCCCCGGGCUCCUGGGGGCCUGUGGUGCCAGCAGGGACGUGGACGGGCCCCGGGGAGUCCCCACCUCCUGUACUCCCUCGGGAAACAGGCAGGGCAGGCUAGGCCAGGACCACCAAGUCCUCCAUGCCACGGAAGGGCUCUGGCCAGGCCCCUGGGCACAGGACUAUGUGGCUAUGGGCGCCCCGACAGAUGCCUCCCCCAGGCGAAACUCCGCCACGGGGACGCACCAGGUACCAGGUUCCAAUCCCCUCUGGGCCACUCACAAGCAGUGUGGCCUGGAGCAAGUGGCCUAACCUCGAUGGGCCUCAGUCUCCCGAUCUGGGAAAUGGGCGUGAUCACAGCAGCUGCCCUCACAGGGCAGUGGACCUGGGCUGUAACAAAGCCCAAUUAG
rnacentral:lncRNA from 1 species